UAAAAGUCGUAACAAGGUUUCCGUAGGUGAACCUGCGGAAGGAUCAUUAUUGAAUAAACUUGAACAGGCUGUUGCNUAGCUUCUCUUGGAAAGGGAGGGGUAUGUGCACGCUUGUCAUCUUUGUUUCUCCAACUGUGCACAUAUUGUAGACCUGGCAAGUUGAUUGAACCUUUUGGUUCGUUUCGAGUUUGGGACUGCCGUGCUUUUUGAAGUCGGCUUUGCUUUGCUUUUUUGCCUUGGUCUAUGUCAUUUUCACAAACCAAUGAAUUUGUUCAGAAUGUUGAAUCAGGUCCUUUUUUGUACCUAUAAAGUUUAUAUACAACUUUCAGCAACGGAUCUCUUGGUUCUCGCAUCGAUGAAGAACGCAGCGAAAUGCGAUAAGUAAUGUGAAUUGCAGAAUUCAGUGAAUCAUCGAAUCUUUGAACGCAUCUUGCGCUCCUUGGUAUUCCGAGGAGCAUGCCUGUUUGAGUGUCAUUUCAUCUUCUCAACCCACACCCACUGGAUUUAUUUUCUAGGGUGUGUGGCUUGGAUGUGGGGGGAUGUAUUUUUUGCAGGCUCUCGAGUCUGCUCCCCUAAAAUGCAUUAGUGGUAUCCGAGCAGAUAAACUACUACAGGUGUGAUAAUCUAUCUAUGCCUCAGUAUGCUGCAUGAAUGGAUCACGCUGCUUCUAACAAAAAAAGAAAAAUGGGCCACCGUUUUGAUAAAUUUGACCUCAAAUCAGGUAGGACUACCCGCUGAACUUAAGCAUAUCAAUAAGCGGANGAAAAG
rnacentral:rRNA from 1 species